CCCUUAGAUGUUCUGGGCCGCACGCGCGCUACACUGAUGCAUUCAACGAGUCUAAAACCUGCUCUGAUAGGGGUGGGUAAUCUUUUGAAUGUGCAUCGUGAUUGGGAUAGAUGAUUGCAAUUUUUCAUCUUCAACGAGGAAUGCCUAGUAAACGCAAGUCAUCAGCUUGUAUUGAUUACGUCCCUGCCCUUUGUACACACCGCCCGUCGCUCCUACCGAUUGAAUGAUCCGAUGAAUAUCAUGGAUUGAGGAUGCAAGUAGGUUCGCCUAUCUUCAUCUUCGAGAAGUGAAGUAAAUCUUAUCAUUUAGAGGAAGGAGAAGUCGUAACA
rnacentral:rRNA from 1 species